AACUUUACUGAUCACACUGUAAAGCUAAAAAGCAUUAACCCUUUAAGUUAAAGAUUGAGAGCCUGGUCUCUCUGCAGUGA
rnacentral:tRNA from 1 species